GUUCCAGUAGCGUAAUUGUUAGCACGUUGGACAUUUAAUCCAAUGUCGUGGGUUCAAUUCCCACCUGGGAUG